rnacentral:rRNA from 1 species
GACGGAGGGUGCUAGCGUUGUUCGGAAUUACUGGGCGUAAAGGGCGCGUAGGCGGCUACGGUAGUCGGGUGUGAAAGCCCGGGGCUCAACCCCGGAACGGCAUCCGAUACUCUGUGGCUAGAGACCGGAAGAGGUGGGUGGAAUGACCCAGUGUAGAGGUGAAAUUCGUAGAUAUUCGCAAGAACACCAGUGGCGAAGGCGGCUUACUGGUCCGGUUCUGACGCUGAGGCGCGAAAGCGAUGGGGAGCAACAGGG